GCGAGGAUCCACACUCAAAUGAAGACAACCAGAGGAAAGGUACAAUAGUUUUCUUUGGUCUUGCCAGUAAAUGUGGAUUUUGGAAAUCAUCAUGAGAAAAUAACAGGAAGUUUCACUAAGGUGCUCUUUGCUAAACAUCAGCCUAGCCCUGAUGGUGAUAAUACACAGAAGGGGGAAAAAACUUCAGAGACGCUAAUGACUGUAGUUACCCAACUUCUGCCUUAAAUGGGUUUUAUUAGCUUCCCUCCUUGGAGUUCUUUAGGAUAAAGUGGGAAAACAAAUUGGCCUGAUGGGAAGUGAGUUGUGAAAAGAGAAUCGCUAAGGAGAAGACUCAGGAACCAUCCUGUCUGAGAAUUCCAAGAGGAAAAUAAAGGUGAUGAAACAGGGCCUAGACUGCUCUUUCUUGAUCUUGAGCUUGAUUCGCUGGCAGAUCUGACAACAUGACGUGUUACUGGGGAGAAGAGACAGACUCCACGAGCCACAUCAGUAACUUGACAUUUGGCCAAGGAGUCUCCAAACGGGAUUCUCAACUCUAAAAUGCUACGAAGGUGGGAGACUGUGAGCUGAUAGCACUCGGAGACACAGAAAAAGUUCUCUCUGGGUAGGAGAGAGAAGCCUUGAGGCCCUCUGCCCUGACUUGAAGCCACCCCAAGUGCUCCUUCGCUGGCCACUCCUUCAGUGAUUCCAAGAUGGGCUCCGAGAUUCCUUCCUGCAAUUUGUUUAAAGCGCAAGUUUCCUAUAUUCAAUUCUACCUGCUACUGCAUUUCUCCGUGCCUCCCACUCUCUCCUAAAUCACUC